UCAGUCGACUCCUACGGGGAGGCAGCAGUGGGGAAUAUUGCACAAUCGGGGGGAAACCCUGAUGCAGCCAUGCCGCGUGUGUGAAGAAGGCCUUCGGGUUGUAAAGCACUUUCAGUAGGGAGGAAGGUAGUGUAGUUAACACCUGCAUUAUUUGACGUUACCUACAGAAGAAGCACCGGCUAACUCCGUGCCAGCAGCCGCGGUAAUACGGAGGGUGCGAGCGUUAAUCGGAAUUACUGGGCGUAAAGCGCAUGCAGGCGGCCUGUUAAGUCAGAUGUGAAAGCCCGGGGCUUAACCUCGGAAUUGCAUUUGAAACUGGCAGGCUAGAGUCUUGUAGAGGGGGGUAGGAAUUUCAGGUGUAGCGGUGAAAUGCGUAGAGAUCUGAAGGAAUACCAGUGGCGAAGGCGGCCCCCUGGACAAAGACUGACGCUCAGAUGCGAAAGCGUGGGGAGCAAACAGGAUUAGAUACCCUGGUAG
rnacentral:rRNA from 1 species